UAGGGAAUCUUCCGCAAUGGACGAAAGUCUGACGGAGCAACGCCGCGUGAGUGAAGAAGGAUUUCUGUUCGUAAAACUCUGUUGUUAGGGAAGAAAAAAUGUAUAUUAAUCAUAUACAAAAGAGACGGUACCUAACCAGAAAGCUACGGCUAACUACGUGCCAGCAGCCGCGGUAAUACGUAGGUGGCAAGCGUUGUCCGGAAUUAUUGGGCGUAAAGCGCGCGCAGGUGGUUUAGAAAGUCUGAUGUGAAAGCCCACGGCUCAACCGUGGAGGGUCAUUGGAAACUAAUAAACUUGAGUGCAGAAGAGAAAAGUGGAAUUCCUAGAGUAGCGGUGAAAUGCGUAGAGAUUAGGAGGAACGCCGGUGGCGAAAGCGGCUUUUUGGCCUGCAACUGACACUGAGGCGCGAUAGCGUGGGGAGCAAACAGG
rnacentral:rRNA from 1 species